UACGUAGGGGGCAAGCGUUGUCCGGAUUUAUUGGGCGUAAAGAGCGUGUAGGCGGCUAAAUAGGUCCGUUGUGAAAACUCGAGGCUCAACCUCGAGAUGCCGAUGGAAACCAUUUGGCUAGAGUCCGGAAGAGGAGAGUGGAAUUCCCGGUGUAGCGGUGAAAUGCGCAGAUAUCGGGAGGAACACCAAUGGCGAAGGCAGCUCGCUGGGACGUUACUGACGCUGAGACGCGAAAGCGUGGGGGAG
rnacentral:rRNA from 1 species